UGGGGAAUAUUGCACAAUGGGGGAAACCCUGAUGCAGCGACGCCGCGUGAGCGAAGAAGGUUUUCGAAUCGUAAAGCUCUGUCCUAUGAGAAGAUAAUGACGGUAUCAUAGGAGGAAGCCCCGGCUAAAUACGUGCCAGCAGCCGCGGUAAUACGUAUGGGGCGAGCGUUGUCCGGAAUUAUUGGGCGUAAAGGGUACGUAGGCGGUCUAUUAAGUCAGGUGUGAAAGCGUGAGGCUUAACCUCAUUAAGCACUUGAAACUGAUAGACUUGAGUGAAGGAGAGGAAAGUGGAAUUCCUAGUGUAGCGGUGACAUGCGUAGAUAUUAGGAGGAAUACCGGUGGCGAAGGCGACUUUCUGGACUUUUACUGACGCUCAGGUACGAAAGCGUGGGGAGCAAACAGG
rnacentral:rRNA from 1 species